UGGGGAAUUUUGGACAAUGGGCGAAAGCCUGAUCCAGCAAUGCCGCGUGUGUGAAGAAGGCCUUCGGGUUGUAAAGCACUUUUGUCCGGAAAGAAAUCCUUGGCUCUAAUACAGUCGGGGGAUGACGGUACCGGAAGAAUAAGCACCGGCUAACUACGUGCCAGCAGCCGCGGUAAUACGUAGGGUGCAAGCGUUAAUCGGAAUUACUGGGCGUAAAGCGUGCGCAGGCGGUUUGCUAAGACCGAUGUGAAAUCCCCGGGCUCAACCUGGGAACUGCAUUGGUGACUGGCAGGCUAGAGUAUGGCAGAGGGGGGUAGAAUUCCACGUGUAGCAGUGAAAUGCGUAGAGAUGUGGAGGAAUACCGAUGGCGAAGGCAGCCCCCUGGGCCAAUACUGACGCUCAUGCACGAAAGCGUGGGGAGCAAAACAGGAUUAGAUACCCUGGUAGUCCACGCCCUAAAACGAUGUCAACUAGUUGUUGGGGAUUCAUUUCCUUAGUAACGUAGCUAACGCGUGAAGUUGACCGCCUGGGGAGUACGGUCGCAAGAUUAAAACUCAAAGG
rnacentral:rRNA from 1 species